AGCGGAANCAACUAAAAACAAUUGGACCUACCUCCAAAGAAAUGGAGGGAAANUAAAAGAAUUGGNGGGAAACUCAAAGGAAUGGACGGAAACUCAAAUGAAUUGACGGAAACUCAAAGGAAUUGACGGAAACUCAAAGGAAUUGACGGAAACUCAAAGGAAUUGACGGAAACUCAAAGGCAUUGACGGAAACUCAGAGGAAUUGACGGAAACUCAAAGGAAUUGACGGAAACUCAAAAGAAUUG
rnacentral:rRNA from 1 species